GUGCCGCAGAAAGGGAAACCGCCUAAGGAGCCUCGCGGUUCUGCCGCGGGUUCCGGGCAAGGGUGAAAAGGUGAGGUAAGAGCUCGCCAGUGUCCCCGGUGACGGGGGCAGUUUGGUAAACCCCGCUCGGAGCGAGACCAAGUAGGGGAGGAUGAGGUGGUCCCGCCUCGCUAGAACUCCCGGGUAGGUUGCUAGAGAUGACGGGUAAUCGUCGUCCCAGAUGAAUGAUCGCCACGGAAGGCUUGCCUUCCGACAGAACUCGGCUUAUGACCUGCUGCGACCU
rnacentral:RNase_P_RNA from 1 species